ACGAACGCUGGCGGCACGCUUAACACAUGCAAGUCGAACGAGAGAAGAGAAGCUUGCUUUUCUGAUCUAGUGGCGGACGGGUGAGUAACACGUGAGCAAUCUGCCUUUCAGAGGGGGAUACCGAUUGGAAACGAUCGUUAAUACCGCAUAAUAUAAUUGAACCGCAUGAUUUGAUUAUCAAAGAUUUAUCGCUGAAAGAUGAGCUCGCGUCUGAUUAGCUAGUUGGUAAGGUAACGGCUUACCAAGGCGACGAUCAGUAGCCGGACUGAGAGGUUGAUCGGCCACAUUGGGACUGAGACACGGCCCAGACUCCUACGGGAGGCAGCAGUGGGGAAUAUUGCACAAUGGAGGAAACUCUGAUGCAGCGAUGCCGCGUGAGGGAAGAAGGUUUUAGGAUUGUAAACCUCUGUCUUCAGGGACGAAAAAUGACGGUACCUGAGGAGGAAGCUCCGGCUAACUACGUGCCAGCAGCCGCGGUAAUACGUAGGGAGCGAGCGUUGUCCGGAAUUACUGGGUGUAAAGGGAGCGUAGGCGGGAUCGCAAGUCAGAUGUGAAAACUAUGGGCUUAACCCAUAAACUGCAUUUGAAACUGUGGUUCUUGAGUGAAGUAGAGGUAAGCGGAAUUCCUAGUGUAGCGGUGAAAUGCGUAGAUAUUAGGAGGAACAUCAGUGGCGAAGGCGGCUUACUGGGCUUUAACUGACGCUGAGGCUCGAAAGCGUGGGGAGCAAACAGGAUUAGAUACCCUGGUAGUCCACGCCGUAAACGAUGAUUACUAGGUGUGGGGGGACUGACCCCUUCCGUGCCGCAGCAAACGCAAUAAGUAAUCCACCUGGGGAGUACGACCGCAAGGUUGAAGCUCAAAGGAAUUGACGGGGGCCCGCACAAGCAGUGGAGUAUGUGGAUUAAUUCGAAGCAACGCGAAGAACCUUACCAGGUCUUGACAUCGUAUGCAUAGCUCAGAGAUGAGUGAAAUCUCUUCGGAGACAUAUAGACAGGUGGUGCAUGGUUGUCGUCAGCUCGUGUCGUGAGAUGUUGGGUUAAGUCCCGCAACGAGCGCAACCCUUACUGUUAGUUGCUACGCAAGAGCACUCUAGCAGGACUGCCGUUGACAAAACGGAGGAAGGUGGGGAUGACGUCAAAUCAUCAUGCCCCUUAUGACCUGGGCCUCACACGUACUACAAUGGCUGUCAACAGAGGGAAGCAAAGCCGCGAGGUGGAGCAAACCCCUAAAAGCAGUCUUAGUUCGGAUUGUAGGCUGCAACCCGCCUACAUGAAGUCGGAAUUGCUAGUAAUCGCAGAUCAGCAUGCUGCGGUGAAUACGUUCCCGGGCCUUGUACACACCGCCCGUCACGCCAUGGGAGUCGGUAACACCCGAAGCCUGUAGUCUAACCGCAAGGAGGACGCAGUCGAAGGUGGGAUUGAUGACUGGGGUG
rnacentral:rRNA from 1 species